rnacentral:rRNA from 1 species
AUUGAACGCUGGCGGCAUGCUUUACACAUGCAAGUCGAACGGCAGUGGGGGCUUCGGCCUGCCGGCGAGUGGCGAACGGGGAGUAAUGCAUCGGAACGUGCCCAUGUCGUGGGGGAUAACGUAGCGAAAGCUACGCUAAUACCGCAUACGCCCUGAGGGGGAAAGCGGGGGAUUCUUCGGAACCUCGCGCGAUUGGAGCGGCCGAUGUCGGAUUAGCUAGUUGGUGAGGUAAAGGCUCACCAAGGCGACGAUCCGUAGCGGGUCUGAGAGGAUGAUCCGCCACACUGGGACUGAGACACGGCCCAGACUCCUACGGGAGGCAGCAGUGGGGAAUUUUGGACAAUGGGGGCAACACUGAUCCAGCCAUGCCGCGUGAGUGAAGAAGGCCUUCGGGUUGUAAAGCUCUUUCGGCCGGGAAGAAAUCGCACUCUCUAACAUAGGGUGUGGAUGACGGUACCGGACUAAGAAGCACCGGCUAACUACGUGCCAGCAGCCGCCGUAACAC